AAUUAUGUUCCUAUGGGUACAAAAUAUAUAACUGUACCUUUAAAGGUCCACAAUAGGUCCUUAGGGUACAAUUAUGUUCCCAAAACGACUUAUAAAGGUACAACUUUUUAGGUUUGAGUGUGGAAGGUCCAUUUUUGUACCUUUUCCUUUUUUUACAGUUGAGGUCCAAAUAGAGUAACUUGUCUGUUUAUUUUUUAUUUUUUAUUAAUUAACAUUAAAACACCAUAUUAAACAUGAAAUAAUUAUGCUUGUUUGUUGUAAAGUAGCCAGUUGCCUAUAUUUUUUGUUAAAAAAACUUUAUCAAAUUAUUAUUAUUAUUUUGUACUGUUGCAUAAAAACGGAAAUUAAAUGUUUUAAUUAAAUUUCAAAUAAAGACCACGAUGAACGACAACAAAACAUAUUCAAAACUUAUUUUUUUGCUUAAGCAGACGUUACGGUUGUUGUCGCUUUAAGAAAAUUUCCCGCUUGACUCAUUCGGUGCGGACCGGUAGUAACCUGUUCUUUUGACAACUUCAGACACGAUUUUCCAACGUCCGAACAUUUUUGGAGGACACCGUUUUCAGCUCGCGAAUACUGGCUGUGGUAUGUUUCUGACCGGUAGUAACCUGUUCUUCUGACAACUUCAGACACGAUUUUCCAGCGUCCGAACAUUUUUGGAGGACACCGUUUUCAGCUCGCGAAUACUGGCUGUGGUAUGUUUCUGACCGAUUGGGAAGAGCCCUCAGAAGUAGCAAUGGAGUUGGCGAGAGUGUCGUUCAAUUAGCAGGAGCUAUUGCAGUUUGGGAUAUAAUUACCUGAAGAGGAAGAAAAAAAUUGAGGGAAUGGAUUACAAAUCAGAUUCAGCACUUCUCAUGUUGACAGCCUUGUUCAGAGAGAAGCUUGAACUCUUCAUUGUGCUUGGGGAGUGAAGUCAUCGGAGUUGCAGUCAUCGGAGUUGAUGGGAUAGAGAUCUGCCGGGCUAGUGGUGUGGAUGAAGGGGCUCUUUCUGCAUUUUGUGUGUUUUGUCUUCGAUUUGACAAUAACUUGUGGUCCUAAUGACUGUCAGAGACUUUUCAAAGUACAAUUCCUGUCAUGUUUACCAAAAGGAUAAACACACAAUGUUACAACGGACUACUACUGAUGUUCCUCUUCCUUUGUUUGAAGACGCCGAGGAAGAAUCUGAUAAUAGUGUUGCAUUUUUUGCCCCCCAAACAUGGAGCUGUUUCAGCAAUUUAGAGAGAACAGUACUUUUAAUUAUAACAAUUCCUCAUUUGUAAGGAUUCUUAAGGUGUUACGGUUAAAAACUUUUUAAUAAUUCAUAUUUCCUGAGUAAUGUCUAAUGAGCUUUUCUGUGCAAUUAUCAAUUAAUUCUCUCGACUCACACCUGAUGCUGUGACAUCACAUGUAAUAAUUCGUUGUAAAAGAAAGUUUCUUAAUAAAAUCUGUUAAAUAUGCAUAUCUGUAA